AUAUUGGUAGUAUAACUUACGUACAGUUGCCUUCCAAGCAAAAAGACCUUAAGGUCAAUAUA
rnacentral:tRNA from 1 species